GCGUUGGAACACUGGUUCCCGUACGAUCACUUAAGUUAAGCAACAUUGUGCCUGGUCAGUACCUAGAUGGGUUACCGCUUGGGAAUACCAGGUGCUGUAA